rnacentral:tRNA from 1 species
GUUGUAGCUCAGCGGUAGAGCACUUGCUUGGCAUGCGUGAGGCCCUGGGUUCCAUGCUCAGCACCACA